rnacentral:rRNA from 1 species
AAAACUUUCAACAACGGAUCUCUUGGUUCUGGCAUCGAUGAAGAACGCACGAAAUGCGAUAAGUAAUGCCAAUUGCAGAAUUCCGUGAGUCAUCGAAUCUUUGAACGCACAUUGCGCCCUCCGGUAUUCCGGAGGGCAUGCCUGUCCGAGCGUCAUU